rnacentral:rRNA from 1 species
GCCAGUAGUGAUAUGCUUCGUUUAAAGANUAAGCCAUGCAGGCGUAAGUCCUUCUUUGGCAUGUCGGCAGAACAUUCUGUUGGCAUUAAUUGCACAAUCAGAUGCACUGCGGAUGGCUCAGUUUAACGGCCGCAAUCUCCCGAGAUUGCGGCCACUUACAUGGAUAUCUGUGGCAAUUCUAGAGCUAAUACAUGCCGAGUAUAACCCACUUCCGCAAUUCUGCGGAACCGGUUGCUUUAUUAGAACAAGACUCUAGCCUCCGACCUGGGCGGGACAUUGACUCACUACCUUGCUUCACUCCUCCACAUCCUGUGUUGCGUGCUGUCGCAUGACCGUGUUUCAUUGCUCUCGGGGUCGCGAAACAAAUCCCAUGGUGAUGCACGAUAACGGACCACGAUCGCACGGUCAAUCCGUAUUGGCGACGAAUUCAAAUAGCACGUCUGCCUUAUCAGGCCAGAUGGCUUUUAUGGGGCAUGCCAUGGCAGUGACGGGAGACGGGGAAUCAGGGUUCGAUUCCGGAGAGGGAGCCUGAGAAAUGGCUACCACAUCCAAGGAAGGCAGCAGGCACGGAAAUUACCCACUGCCGACACGGUGAGGUAGUGACGACCCAUAACAAUUCGGGACUCUUUCGAGGCCCCGUAUUUGGAAUGAGCGCUCUUUAAAUCCUUUGACGAGGAUCAAUUGGAGGGCAAGUCUGGUGCCAGCAGCCGCGGUAAUUCCAGCUCCAAGGGCAUAUACUAAAGCUGUUGCGGUUAAAAAGCUCGUAGUCGGAUCUCAGUUCUCGGGCCGGUGGUCCACCGCAAUUCCGCGGUGGUUGUCAAAAACACCACCUGCGUCCGGAACAAAAUCACAAAAGAUGGAACAAGAUACAGCCCUCCCAUCGUCUCGCUCGUCAUCCUCUUUGCCGGGUGUGAUAACGGGUCAUGGCGGGUGGCUCGUAUACAUUUGUCUCUUUUCUUUUUUCUUUUACUUUGAAUAAAUCAAUGUGCUUAAUGCAGGCGUUGCGCUCUGCUCGAAUGAUACAGCAUGGAAUAAUGGAACAUGUCCACGGUUUCUGUUGGUCUUGCGAAUCCGAGGAAAUGAUCGAUAGGGACUGACGGGGGCAUCCGUACUGCGGCGCGAGAGGUGAAAUUCUAGGACCGUCGCAAGACGCCCAAGUGCGAAAGCAUUUGCCAAGAAUGUUUUCGUUGAUCAAGAACGAAAGUUAGAGGUUCGAAGGCGAUCAGAUACCGCCCUAGUUCUAACUGUAAAUGAUGCCAACCAGCAAUGUGCCGGCGUUCCUCCAAUGACCCGACACGCAGCUUUCCGGGAAACCAAAGUCUUUGGGUUCCGGGGGAAGUAUGGUUGCAAAUCUGAAACUUAAAGGAAUUGACGGAAGGGCACCACCAGGAGUGGAGCCUGCGGCUUAAUUUGACUCAACACGGGAAAACUCACCCGGCCCGGACACUGGAAGGAUUGACAGAUUGAGAGCUCUUUCUUGAUUCAGUGGGUGGUGGUGCAUGGCCGUUCUUAGUUGGUGGAACGAUUUGUCUGGUUAAUUCCGAUAACGAACGAGACUCUAGCCUACUAAAUAGGCGACUGCCCCGUCCCGGCGCAGUCCGAUCUCUUCUUAGAGGGACAAGCGGCUUACAGCCGUACGAAACUGAGCAAUAACAGGUCUGUGAUGCCCUUAGAUGUCCGGGGCCGCACGCGCGCUACAAUGAAGGGAUCAGCGUGUGCUUGCUUAUUCCCCGGUCCGAGAUGACCGGGAAAUCCAUUGAAACCCCUUCGUGAUGGGGAUUGGGGUCUGCAACUGUCCCCCAUGAACGAGGAAUUCCCAGUAAGCGCGGGUCAUAAGCUCGCGUUGAUUACGUCCCUGCCCUUUGUACACACCGCCCGUCGCUACUACCGAUUGAAUGAUUUAGUGAGGUCUUUGGACUGGUGUUCGCCGGGCCCCCGUGCCUGGCGUCACACGCUGGAAAGAUGACCGAACUUGAUCAUUUAGAGGAAGUAAAAGUCGUAACAAGGUUUCCGUAGGUGAACCUGCGGAAGGGAUCAAUAA